rnacentral:tRNA from 1 species
AAGGAAGUGGCAGAGUGGUGAUGUGGUUGGCUUGAAACCAAUUUAUGGAGGUUCGAUUCCUUCCUUUCUCG